GCUGGCUAAGUCAGUCCCUUGUUAAAUCCACCGAAUUAAUCGUUGGAUUGCGGGGGAUACUGCUUGGCUAGGGGACGAGAGAGGCAGACGGUAUUUCCGGGGUAGGGGUGAAAUCCUAUAAUCCCGGGAAGACCACCAGUGGCGAAGGCUGUCUGCUAGAACGCGCCCGACGGUGAGGGAUGAAAGCUGGGGGAGCGAACCGGAUUAGAUACCCGGGUAGUCCCAGCUGUAAACGAUGCAGGCUAGGUGUUUGGACGGCCACGUGCCGUUCUAGUGCCGCAGGGAAGCUGUUAAGCCUGCCGCCUGGGGAGUACGAUCGCAAGAUUGAAACUUAAAGGAAUUGGCGGGGGAGCACCACAAGGGGUGAAGCUUGCGGUUUAAUUGGAUUCAACGCCGGAAAUCUCACCGGGAGCGACAGCAGUGUGAAGGCCAGAUUAAAGGUCUUGCCAGACGAGCUGAGAGGAGGUGCAUGGCCGUCGCCAGUUCGUGCCGUGAGGUGUCCUGUUAAGUCAGGCAACGAUCGAGACCCGCGUCCUCUGUUGCUACUAGCCUUGUGCUGGG
rnacentral:rRNA from 1 species